rfam:Ornithorhynchus anatinus chromosome 2, whole genome shotgun sequence.
AGCAGCGUGGCUCAGUGGAAAGAGCCCGGGCUUGGGAGUCAGAGGUCAUGGGUUCGAUUCCCGACUCUGCCA